CCAGAGAACUUAGCAGAGAUGCUUUGGUGCCUUCGGGAACUCUGAGACAGGUGCUGCAUGGCUGUCGUCAGCUCGUGUUGUGAAAUGGUUGGGUUAAGUCCCGCAACGAGCGCAACCCUUAUCCUUUGUUGCCAGCGGCUCGGCCGGGAACUCAAAGGAGACUGCCGGUGAUAAACCGGAGGAAGGUGGGGAUGACGUCAAGUCAUCAUGGCCCUUACGGCCAGGGCUACACACGUGCUACAAUGGCGCAUACAAAGAGAAGCGACCUCGCGAGAGCAAGCGGACCUCAUAAAGUGCGUCGUAGUCCGGAUUGGAGUCUGCAACUCGACUCCAUGAAGUCGGAAUCGCUAGUAAUCGUAGAUCAGAAUGCUACGGUGAAUACGUUCCCGGGCCUUGUACACACCGCCCGUCACACCAUGGGAGUGGGUUGCAAAAGAAGUAGGUAGCUUAACCUUCGGGAGGGCGCUUACCACUUUGUGAUUCAUGACUGGGGUGAAGUCGUAACAAGGUAGGCGUAGCGAG
rnacentral:rRNA from 1 species